CUGCAUUCUGUAAACCCCCGGCUUGUUUUGUCUCACAACAAGUCGGACAAAAAGGAAUGCAAAAUGAAAGCUCCAGAGAAUUCCAAAGUGCUGAGCUUCACUUGUGCUUUUCACUAUUUCACCUCUCUGACAAUU